AAUGACAAAAGUGUGGCAAUGCUUAAUAUAGGUGGAUAUCAACAAGCAGUAACAAAAGCCUUUGAUUCUCUUCCUGAAACUCCUAAACAUGCAUCGUAGGAGAAAGUUUUUUUUACAAGCUUCUACCAGCUACGAAUUUAAAACAUGAAGAAAGAAAAAAAAACAAAAGGAAAAUCCUACAACAGAAGAUAUGUUGGGGUUGGUUUUUUUGAAAAUCGUCUUGGUCGGUUAUUAGAAGAGGGGAUUGGCAUUUUGAAAAGGGGGGAACCAAAGUCCUUCAGGGAGAAAUAGCAAGAAGUAAGAAAACACAGAAAAAAAAAAGAUCUUCAUCUUCAUCUGGAGAAGCCCAAAGCACGGGGGAAGGAUCAAGAAAGGGAGAGUUUUCUUUCAAAAGGGAUAAGGAAGAAGAGGCAUCAUUCAUAGAAAAGGGAAGGGAGAAGCCAGCCAGCCUGAGGAAAGGAAGAGGUCAAGGUUGUAGCAAUCGAGUCUUCAAGAGGUAAGUAAUGCAUUGUACUCCACGUUUUUAGUAAAAACUGGUGGCUUGCCCUUGAACAUAUUGUUAUAUUGGUGCUGCUGUGCUUGCAUAUGACUGUUAUCGAAUGUUUUCCUAUUAUGUUCUGUAUAAUCGUGUAUGAUAUUGUCACAUGAACCUUUCCCGCUCUCCAUCAUUAUCCUCCACUAAUCCCAUGCUCUGUUCCUCCUCACCUGUCCAAUGGAGUCAACAACCAAGCAAAAAAAACUAACCCAACCUCCUUGAGUCAUUCACGACGCCACCACUACUGUUUUCAUCGCAUUUCUCUUGGCAACAGCGUAGCUACCACUCCUCCCCUCCAUUCCCGACGUCCACAACCAACACGCCACACAUGUUUUCAUCCACCGCCAUAUCCAAACCUCCCUAUGGCAUUGUCAACACGUAUCAUACAAAAUAAGCAUUGGAACAUUCUUGAUCACAUUUUCAUCCCCUUCUUUGAGUACGCCUUGGCCAGAAACUGUAAAAAAUCCUUUUCUACUUCUCUACUUCAAAGCCACUGAGAAAAGCAAAAAAACAAAAAGCUCAGUUUCUUAAGAACUGUUCUGUUCAUCUUUUUACCAACACCAAAGCAUCAUAGGAUCACAACUAGUAAAGCAUUUUUUUUCCUCUUUCAGUUUCUCAAAUCAGAAUGAGUUUUUAUAAAAUAGAAAGUUCCCCAGAACCUUGAUUCUUCUCAGUUGCAAAGAAAGAAAGAGGAACCCAUCUCCCUGAGUUGUUUACGGUACCGUCUCCACCAAUUCCAUCUUGUUUCUCUCGGCCAUUGCAAAUUUGUUUCCUUUUCACUAUCACACUCAUCAUUCCCAAUCUCAGUACACAAAACAUCAAACAAUAGAAGAAAUUAAUCAAUAAGUGGCAUUCAAAAAUGAGAAGAGAGGAAAACGCAUUUAGUUCCCCGACACCGGCGACGGUGCUGCUGGAGGCGCCUGGAGUUUGAGGGAAAAGAAAGAACAGAGAGGGAAGAGAACGGUGCUGGUGGCGCCAGUGGGGAAGCGUCUCCGGCAAGGACAGCGGUGACGUCGCAAGGAGAGAGGUGAGUUCCUCCCUCACACGCGAUAAAGGAAAAAUGGUGGGGUUGACGGCGACGACGACAUUGGCAGCGGCGUCGACUGGCCUCGUCUGUGACGGCGAGGACGCGUCCAAGGGGCAAGCGUACAUCUUCUCGCGCACGAAGGGGGAGGAGGGAAGAGAUUGGCGGUGGCGCCGUGGCUGGCCAUGGUUCCGGUGGCAUCUACUAUCGCCGGCGACGCGAUAAACCGGUGGUGGAGACGGUGGCUUUGGGUUUUGCCGGCAGAGUGAGAGAGAGGCUCUAGGCCUUGUGUUCUUCGUUUGAGCGGAAUGAGUUAGGAUAUGAGAACCCCUAAGGGUUUUUCCAGAUCUGAGAAGCAAAAAGGCCUUGGGCCUUCUGAUUCAGCUUACAAAGAAUAAAAAAAAAAAAACGCUUUCUACUUUGUGUACGCCCCCGUUUCUCACGUGCACCCCUCUUCAUUUUCUGUCUGGGCCGGUGCUAAGCCAAACCCAAAAAAAAAAUUAAAAAAGAACUUUUUUCGCACCCCCUGGUUUCAUAUUUCGCACCCCAUUCUCUUAGGGUUUAAGCCCAUGCUUCCUAAAAAGUUUUUCCUUCCUGGCACCCUUACCUCUGCUAAGUUUCACCACCUUUUAUUAUUAAGUGCAUUCUCACUUUUUUUUAUUUGUUUUUUAUUAUUUUAUUUUGCUUUUUAUUUUAUUUUAUUUUUAUUUUUAUUCUUAUAUAUUUAUCUUGGUAUUUUAUUUUUCUUUUAUCCUCUUUCUGUUUUGAACAUUUAUUUUCUUUUUUAAAUAUAUAAAUAUUAAAAACAAUAAAAAUAAAAACUAUGUUUUAAAAGGUUAUAGCACACGUGCGACCGUUCGCGUAGGCCUUGUGCUAAAAGUUUUUUCCCUUCUUCUUUCACAAAAAUCAAAAAUCAAAAUAUGUUUUAAAAGGUUAUAGCACACGUGCAACCGUUCGCGUCAGCCUUGUGUUAAAAACCUUUUCCUCUUUAUUCUAAAAAUCAAAAAAUAUUUUAAGAGGUUUAAGCACAUGUGCGACCAUUCGCGUCAGCCUUGUGUUAAAAAACCUUUUCCUCCUUCUUUUAAAAAUAAAAAAAAUAUUUUAAAAGGUUUAAGCACACGUGCGACCAUUCGCGUCAGCCUUGUGUUAAAAAACCUUUUUCUCCUUCUUUUAAAAAUAAAAAAAAAUAUUUUAAAAAGGUUUAAGCACACGUGCGACCAUUCGCGUCAGCCUUGUGUUAAAAACCUUUUUCUUCUUCUUUUAAAAAUAAAAAAGGUUAUUCUAGAAGGUGUAAGCACACGUGCGACCAUUCGCGUGAGUCUUGUGUUGAAAAUAUUUUUCUUCUCCUAUUUCAAAAAAAAUUAUUUUAAGAGGUUUAAGCACACGUGCGACCGUUCGUGUCAGCCUUGUGUUGUAAACCUUUUUCUUCUUCUCUUAAAAAUAAACAAAAAUUGUUUUAAAAGGUUAAAGCACACGUGCGACCAUUCGCGUAGGCCUUGUGCUAAAACCUUUCCCCUUUUCUUUUUAUAUAUAAAAAAUCUUCAAAAACCAAAGACAACCAAUUCUUAAACAUUUCCUAAGCAUUUAGCCAGAACUACGUGAUCCUUGAUUCUCCAUCCAAAGUGGAGAUACGUAGGAGCAAGGCUAGUCCUUGUCAGGCUCACUUUCCCAAAAAUCCAAAAUUUUCAAACAUCAUGUUUCCAAACAAUUCUCCAAACAAAUUUUCCAAAUGGUUUCCUAAAGAACUACGUAACCCUGAUUUCUCAAUCCAACUGAGAAUACGUAGGAGCAAGGUCAAUCCUUGUCGGGCACAAAAAAACACAAAAAAUAUUUUGUUUUCUUUAGAGUUUUAUUUUUUAGGGGAAAUUAAACAUUUUGCAAACCACAUCAAAUUCGUGUAUUUAGUUAAAGGUACUGCCUUAGGGUAGGCGUUGUGGGGGUGCUAACACCUUCCCUACACGUAACCGACUUCCGAAACCAGAAUUUGGUUUUGUAGACCUUGCCUUAUCAUUUUACGGUUUUUCCGUAGUUUUCCAGAAUAAACUAUGGUGGCGACUCCAAAACAUUUUUCAAAAUCAUUUUCUUUUUGGAUCGUCGUCCCGUCGCGAUUUUCCGGUUGCGACAAUUGCACAUUUAAUUCAGUUGACAAUCAAUUAAUGCUUGGUCAAAGAAACAAAAUAUAGUCGUUAUAGUUCACAAGCAUCAACAUAAAUUCAAAACUUAACUAACUAAGUCGAGUAGCUUGCACAUACAGUCGACUUUGUCUCUUCAAUGCAGUUUUGAAAAUCUUCCUUUGCAAAAAUACACACAAUACUGUUUUUGAAAAUUUGUGCAAAGUCACGAGUUUUAAUCGACUUGCUUCAUAAUGAAGUCGACUUAAAACUUGCAGUUUUGCCACACAAUAUAAGUUCAACCAAAGUGCAUAUGAUUUUCUUUUCCAAAACAUAUGUUAUGCAAUCACAAAUGAUAUCUCAUGUAGAAAGUAGUGAGUAUGCACACGUAGACGAAAUUAUCACAAACAUGUUCUAUAAGAAUUCAUACACAUGGAAGUAAUGAACAUGUAACACAUAUUAAUACAUGUGUUAUUAAUAAUGUGUUGUCAUAAUCAAAAACUAUAAGCAUUGUGAUAUUGUAAGAUUUAGCUAAACCAGUGCUCCCCUUAUCAACAAUCUCAACAAAUGCAAUUAUGACUAGCAUGAAUUCAGUUUUCAAAAGAUAACAUACUUAAUUGGUCACAUGAGAUGUGUAGUCAAUUAAGCUAAGCACUUAAACAAAUUUUGAUAACUUUUUCCUUUCAAAAUCUCAUCACAACACAUUUGAAAAUUAUGUAUGCAACGACAUGAGUUUUAAUCGAGUUAACAACUAAUGUAAUCAAUUCAAAACUUGUUGUUUUGCCACAGUUUAAAACAUAAGAUAUCUGAUGAACUUAAUUGAUUACAAUAACACUGUAAUUGAUUAGGUCAUGCAGAUAUGCUUUUGUACUUGUUGUUUUCAUCACACACAAAAAUACAGUAUGCAUACAAACAUAUAAAAACUUCAUGAUCAAUAGUAUGCAAAAUCAACAGUAUGUCAACAUAUGUAUUAAUCACAAUAAGCAUGUACGUAUCCACAUGUAUCAAUCAAUAAUAAAUAUUUUUGUUGUGUCAUGAUAACAUCCAUGUGUUGUUACUAUCAAUGUAUUGUCUUCAUCAAAAACACACACAUCAGGAAUUGGGUUUAACACUCAUAUUGCUCCCCCUAUCAACACAUUACUAUUAUAUUCAUUUAAAAAUAAAAAGUUUAUUGAUUUUUGUAAGAUUUCAAAUGUAAAUUUCUUCCUCAGUCCAAUCUACUCUGAUUCUUGCUCGGAUGAUUGUUUUCAUCCAUGACAUGAUGUAGUAGCCACAUGCCUAGGAAUCUGCCCGCUUGUUACACUAAACAUGUGAAAGAACUUAGUCAAAUGUAAUGAUUUAAAUAUGACUAUAAAAAUUAAUAAGCUAAAUAUCAACAAAUUCCAACCUUAGGAUAUAUAAUUUCAAUUUGUUGUGCUCUGGGCCUAGCCACAACUCUAAACAAAUUUGAAACAUUAUGAAUAUAAGUUAAUAUAUUAAUAUCAUAAUGAAUUAAUAUUAAUGAAUGUAAUACUUACGCUUGUAACAAGGACUUUAAAUAUGAUUUCAUCUUCCUAUGAAGAGAACAAACCAUACAACUUGUGCCUUUUUCAAAAUGAUCACCAUCAUCUGCCAAUGACCCCUAACAUGUACCAACAACUAGUGAGUUUAUUGAUUAAAUUUUGAUAAAAGUUGAAAAUAUUGAGAAACACAUACCCAUCAAUGUAUGACGCGAUAUACAACUCACUUUUAGACUCAGUCAUCCAUGUUUACAUAUAUGAUUGUCUCGAAUCUAAUGUGUUUCUAGAUGGUUGAAUGGUCUAAGGUUCAAGAAAGACAUACAUUGUUGCCCGACCUUAUUCCAUUAUGAUGGUGUCCAUGUACCUAUAACAAUAAAGUUAAGUAUAUUUAUUAAAAAAUAAUAAUAAUAAUAUUCAAAAAGUUAAAUAACAAUUAAAAAACUUACAUGCACCAUAGUUGUAUCCAUGAAAUGUUCAACAUUCUUUCUUCACCAACGACCUCCAGUGCAUCAUUUAAAGUAAUAUACAAUGGCACAUAACAUUGGAUGCCAAAUGUUCUUAACUCUCACUCCAGCUCUGUCGGUCCUUUAUUCAACUUAUGUAAUUUCUUCAUCAAUAUGGCUAGAGGAUCAUCAUCGUCUUUUGCUUCCUUAUGAUCUUCAUUCAUAGGUUAUUGGUAAUUUCUCAGGACGGUAGAGCUGCAAGUCGCAUUUACAAAAGUUAGGAAUCAUUUAAUUAUAACUUCAAGAUUUAAAUAAUAAAAAUAAGAAUAUAAUACCGCUGGUGGGCCAAAAUAUGGCAUGAUCGUAGCCUUAGGCCAAGCUAGAAAUGUGCCUAAGGCCUCCCUCACGAAUUAGAUUUCAUAUGUAGGCACUGACACUCAAUCCUAGGGGUCUCUAACUUCACCAAUUGUUACCAGUGCGUGAGUGGGAAAUAAAGGAGCACCAUGAAGGGUCUGGCCUCCUACAAUCUGUCGUCCCAUGGCCACUACGCGCAAAGGAUCCUCAUCAACCAAAAACUCAUACUGAUAAGUGUAAUCAGUAGGAUCUAUAGUAGAGCAUUUGCCUUUGUUACUCAUAUGAGGUGCGGUAGGAUCAUCUGUGGGGACGUCCUCCUGUUGUUGCUAUUGUUGGGACAUCAUCUAAAGAUUUUCUUCAAGAAGCUUUUGAUAUGCUUCUUCUUGUUGUUGGAAGCGUUCCUCCAUCUCGAGUUGCAUCUGUUGCCUUAGGUUACUUAAAUCUUCCUGACUCAUGGCCUCUUUGCUUCUUAGUUUAGGGCCAAAGUAGUCCUUCAAUCCAGUAACUCCUCCAACAGCACACAUACAACCUGGACAGUCUAGCCAACAUGUUGCUGCUACUAGGAGGUCCUCCCAACCUUGCCCCACAAAUGUGCCCUGAGUCUGCUCUUAAUCAACUCAUCCUACAUAUCAUAAUGAACCUAGAUACAUAAAAAAGUUUGUUUGAUAAAAUUGAUAUGAACUAUGGUAAUUAGUUAAAAGUGUCCACUUACAAUUCUCUGAGAUAUAACUUGAGCCAUCUGGGAUGUCAUCUGGUCAUUGGCCUUGGUCCGUGCAACCUUCCAAAAUUCAUACCUAGCUGGUGGAGGUGCUAGGUCAGGUGACUCAAGACCUAAAGCCUCAUUACGACUUUUUUUCAUCCUUUUCUCUAAUAAUGUAUAACCAUCACGUGACAGUACGUGUGAUGCAUCAUUAAGCCUUUGCCUCUACUGGGCAACUAUCCUUUUUUUCCUGUGAAACAAUUAAAAUUAAUAAGCAUAAAUCACAACUUAACAUCUUGUAUGACUAUAGCAAAAUAUUAAAAAACAUACCUGUUAGUCCUUAAAAAGUCUAGAUGCUCUAAACUACACCCAUUCCUUCUCUGUUAUUUUAUAUUUUGCACAAGGAGUAUCGUCAUAUCUAGCACCAAAGACGUGUGAGUCCAAUCUUAAAAUUCCUCCAUCGGACUUCAAUGUGGGAUAAAGUCUUCUUUCUUAUCCUUUCAUUAUUAGGAAUAUCAAAAUUUUGUUGUUAAAAACAAAAUUAAUGUAUCAGCAUCUUCAACAAAAAUAAGUUAGUGAUUGAAAUUAAAACAUCUUAAACAUACCAGAAUAUCCUACCAUAGUAGAUUUUUCUCAACCUCUGGGACAUCAUCCCAAGAGUUAAUGACAAUAGAGACAUGUGUUUUGUUAACACCCUGGCAAGUGUACCAGAUCCUAUCAAGUAAUAAUAGACAGUAAGUCCAAAUAUCGUUUCCCAAGGGACUCUUAGGCCUAGACGUUCAUGUGAAUAGAUUUUAUAAGACUUGAAUGAAAAUUAAGUUUUGAGUUCAUAAUGCAAAAACUUAAAUUAAACAUGCAAAUGCAAAAGUUAAAUCAAUUUGCAGAUAAAGAUAUGGAUGAAUGGAGUUGCUGGGGUUUACGGUUUCACCCUAAUCCACUAUUUUAUAUUUACUAUUCUUAUUAGAUUCAACUUUAUUACCAAUGUUCAUGCAACUUUCUAAUUUACUCUAAACCCGAUCUCUCAGCGAAAAAAGCCUAUCACCAAUUACUAGUUUACUAUCUCUAGUCUCGCUAGGAAUUACUAACGCAUUAAUGACAAAAGCUUAAAGCAAUCGAUCAUCUUAUUCCUAUCUCUAGGCAUUAUUUCAUAAUCAAGAGAAUUCUCCUUAGUUCUAGAUUUCCCCAUACGUCUCCAUAUCAACAAAUCAAUGAUCAUGAUACUGAAUGAGUUAAACAAUGCAAACUUUCAGCUUAGAGAAGAAAACCAAAACUAUUGAUAACAAAAGUAUGUGAAUAAAAUAAUAAUUUCAAUAUAAGAGAGUUUCAAAAGGAUUACAUCGUUCCCCAACAACAAAAGGUUUAGUUCACCAUUAUCAUGGUGAAACUAUAUGAAUUGAAUGAAAGGAAUGAAAGAAUAAACACUAGAAUUGGUAGAUUGGAGCUUUCGCAUCCAAAAGUCGCCUCCAAGGAGUGUAGAAGGUCUUCUGUCGUCUUUCUCUUUCAAAAGAUUCCCCCAGAAAUUUUCUGAGGAUCUAUUUAUAAACUAUGAAAAAUUACAGAAUUUUGGCCUAAGCCCAACUACAAUGCUCAGCGCUGGUUUCAUCACUCAGUGGUAGGUGCAACACUCCACUAGGACGCUCAACGUUGACGCCCAGGCGUCCUGCCGUAUUGAAUUGAAGAUGUCAGCGCUCAGCGGUGGAUUUUGGCGCUCAACGGUAGGCACGGUUCUUCAUUUUCCCCUCAGCGCUGGCGCAUAAGCGUUUGACAUUGCCUUUUUCCACGAAGCCGGUGCUCAGUGCUGAAAUUGGCGCUAAGCGGUGGCUGCGAUUCUUCCUUUGCACCUUUCUUCAUCCUUUCUUGAGUCCAACUCCUUCCUUCUUCACUAUCCAUCCUUCAAUUCUCAUUAAAUCCUGUCAAAACAAUGCAAAACCAAGCAUGAUAUCUCUAAAACCACCUUUGACUCUCAUGUAACCUAACUAAAGUGUUUUUCAUGAUUUUAAGCUCAUUCUAAGUCUUAAAGGGUGUGUUUUGAUAUCAAUUUCAAGUAUAAAAAUAACGGUUUUUAGACCGUUCUCAUGUUUUUGCCAAGAUGCCUAAGUAACUCCUAAACUUUUCUGCAUGUGCCCUACUAGGAGUGAUGGAAACCUAACUAGGGAAGCCAUCCAAAGGAGUACCAACUCAUGUUAAUGCUAGGAAAUGGAAGUUGAAAAAGGACUUUUAAAGGCUCUUUCUUGAUUUUCUUACUCUAUGUCUUAGAAGGAUUCCCUUUUAAUACUUAUAUGGUUGUUUUGUAGGGUAUAAUAAAGCUUGGAGACCAUGGUUGAGCCAUCCAAGAAGCAUGUGAAGCCAAGGAAAGCAAAGGAGCUAAAAAGCGGAGAAAAAAAGGUAACUUUCGGAUUGGAGAGCUUUGCUUCUGGAUUAGAAAUGAAAGGAAAUUAGCUUCUGGAUUGUAAUCUGCACCCAGCCACAACCUUGCCUGGCUCAGCCACUGCGUAUCAGAAUUUGAAUUUUGCAUGUUUUCCUUGUUUGCUUUGAGUGGGAAGCGUGACCAAGCUAACUUGGCUCCCAAGCUCAACUUUUAUUUGGAUAUUGGAGGGAAUUUAGACCAAAAAUAAGAGGUCAUCUCCUUUGUAAUUUCUCACUCUUGAGCUUAAUAAAAUGCUGCUGAAUUUGCUUUCUAGCCCCUUUGCUCUUGAGUCACUCUUAGAUUUUGACUUCUCCACCUUUCCUCUAGCUUUCUUUCUUAGUAGGAAUGCCCUUUAAGUUGUGAGUUAUUUGUACAGAUAUAUUACUCCUAGCCC
rnacentral:lncRNA from 1 species